GAUGAACGCUGGCGGCGUGCCUAAUACAUGCAAGUCGAGCGAACAGACGAGGCGCUUGCUCCUCUGACGUUAGCGGCGGACGGGUGAGUAACACGUGUAUAACCUACCUAUCAGACUGGGAUCACUUCGGGAAACCGGCGCUAAUACCGGAUAAUAUCUUGAACCGCAUGGUUCAAUAGUGAAAGACGGCGUUUCGGUCUGUUAUAGAUGCAUCCGGGCGGCUUUAGCUGGUUGGUAAGGUCACGGCUUACCACGGCGACGAGGCGUAACCGACCUGAGGGAGUGGUAGGCGGCACUGGAGCUGGACCGGGGUCAAUGGUCCUACGGGAGGGCGCAGACGGCAAUCUUCCGCAAUGGGCGGAAGCCUGGCGGAACAAGGCCGAGUGUGUUAUGAAGGUCUUGGGUUCGUAAAACCCUCUUAUUGGGGAAGAACAAAUGUGUAAGUAACUGUGCACGUCUUGACGGUACCUGAUCAGAAAGCAACGGCUAACUACGUG
rnacentral:rRNA from 1 species